rnacentral:rRNA from 1 species
GACGAACGCUGGCGGCGCGCCUAACACAUGCAAGUCGAACGGAGUCAAGAGGAGCUUGCUUUUCUUGACUUAGUGGCGAACGGGUGAGUAACGCGUGAGUAACCUGCCCUGGAGUGGGGGACAACAGUUGGAAACGACUGCUAAUACCGCAUAAGCCCACGGAUCUGCAUGGAUCUGCGGGAAAAGGAUUUAUUCGCUCUAGGAUGGACUCGCGUCCAAUUAGCUAGUUGGUGAGGUAACGGCCCACCAAGGCGACGAUUGGUAGCCGGACUGAGAGGUUGAACGGCCACAUUGGGACUGAGACACGGCCCAGACUCCUACGGGAGGCAGCAGUGGGGGAUAUUGCACAAUGGGGGAAAACCUGAUGCAGCGACGCCGCGUGGAGGAAGAAGGUUUUCGGAUUGUAAACUCCUGUCGUGAGGGACGAUAAUGACGGUACCUAACAAGAAAGCACCGGCUAACUACGUG